ACCAGACUCCUACGGGAGGCAGCAGUGGGGGAUAUUGCACAAUGGGGGGAACCCUGAUGCAGCGACGCCGCGUGGGUGAAGGAGUGCUUCGGCAUGUAAAGCCCUAUCGGCAGGGAAGAAGCAAGACGGUACCUGACUAAGAAGCCCCGGCUAACUACGUGCCAGCAGCCGCGGUAAUACGUAGGGGGCGAGCGUUAUCCGGAUUUACUGGGUGUAAAGGGAGCGUAGACGGCGAUGCAAGCCAGAUGUGAAAGCCCGGGGCUCAACCCCGGGACUGCAUUUGGAACUGUGUGGCUGGAGUGUCGGAGAGGCAGGCGGAAUUCCUAGUGUAGCGGUGAAAUGCGUAGAUAUUAGGAGGAACACCAGUGGCGAAGGCGGCCUGCUGGACGAUGACUGACGUUGAGGCUCGAAAGCGUGGGGAGCAAACAGGAUUAGAUACCCUUGUAUC
rnacentral:rRNA from 1 species